AAGGAUCAUUAUCGAGUGAGGGUCCUCUGGGCCCCUUCUCCCAACCCUUGUCUAUUCUACCAUGUUGCUUUGGCGGGCCCGUCUGGAACCGGACCGCCGGGGACUCACGUCCCUGGCCCGCGCCCGUCAAUAGCCCCCACAACUUCUUCUGAUCGUGACGUCUAAGGAAAUGAGAAUAACCAAAACUUUCAACAACGGAUCUCUUGGUUCCG
rnacentral:misc_RNA from 1 species